AUGCUGGCGUCCACAGCAUGCUGCUUCCUCCUCCGGGCGGCAUUCAUGAGGCCCCUCCAUCCUCGGGCAGUGGAUCCUCCCCAUUCGUGCCGCCUGCUCCCGCUGCGCCACAGAUCAGCCAUGGUGCUUGGACGGUGCACAGGAGUAAAAGCUCCUGGAAAAGGCUGCGCCGAGCUCAGCGUCUGGAUGAGCAGCGCCGCGUUCAUGGCGGCAUUUACUCUCCUGGCUUUGGCUCUCCGCGCCACUCCGGCCCAGUCUCCUCGACGCCCUUCCUCGCCCUUCUUAAGGAGAGGGUUGCUGGCUGUUGCUUCAAGUGCCUUUCCCCCCCUCCGCCGUGUUCGCAGCUGCACCGCCACCGCUCCCACUUGCCUGCUUUGCGGCGUUUCUGGCCACAGGGCACAACAAUGCUCUUCGGCCCCCAAGCAGUCCGCCCCCAGCCGCGUUGAGUUCCUGCCUGAACACCCCCUCUCCUCCCGUCAACUGGCUUCCACGCGCUUGACCUUCCCCCCAGGCCACCCCUCCUUGCUCCGUCAGCCUGCCUCCACCCGCCUAUCCCCUCCCGAUCUGGCACCUCCAGGCCCCCGCCGUCUCCCUCAUGCCGUUUUGUCCACUUUCCUGUCGCUCCUUGGACCGGUGCCUUGCUUCCCUGUGCGUGCACAUCCCUCUCGCCCGGUGCCUGUGCCGGCCAUGGAUUCGGCGAGAAUCCCUGGCGAUGCCGAGAACCGCCCCGAGUUCGUCUCUCGUGUGGCUCCCUUCUCCUCGGUGAUGCACUCCGCCGAGCACUUCUACGAGAGACAUGGCGCCAUCCUCGUCACCCACGGCAACCGGCCGCGCCUGCGCGUUGGCCAGGUCUGUGAUGCGACCGCGCGCCGUUUCGAUCUUGCUCCGAGUGCGUUCUCCGUCGCCAUGCUGGCUCACGUCGAUGACUUCUUCGUCCUCUUCAAUGACGCAGUCGUUCGCAACAUCGCCACCACCAUGCCGGACACUCUGCGGGUGGGAGCCGCCUCGCUGGGUUUCCGUCCCUGGACGCGCUUCAUUGGUGCGUCCCUGGCGCAUCUGCCUUUCCGUGCCCGUGUCUGCCUGGAGGGCGUGCCGGAGCAUGGACGCCAGCUCGAGACGGUGGCUGUCCUCUUCAAGAACAACUGCCUGAUGGACUGCAUCGAUGACAUCCACCCCACCGACCAAGAUGCUGCUUACUUCUGCGUCUGGAUUUGGACGGCUGACCCUGAGGGCAUCGCUCACCGGGGCUCGUUGGGCCUUGAGGAGCAGCCACGCGCUGCCUCGACGCUGCUUGACUUCCCCGAACUCGGCAUCUCCGAGCCGCCGCCGUCCCAUGAUGGCCCAGCGAACGUCCUGUCCUACCCGGUUCUCCUCCACCUUGACAAGGUGUGGGACUACACACCACACUCCCCAUCUCCGGCGCCAGCAGCCACUCGGCUCAGAGUGGCAUCCCUUCCAGCGGCUCUGAUGGCGAUGACUUGCUGCCCCACAAGCGCUCCUUCGGGUGGCGCUACGCCUACGAGGACAACCCAAGGCAUCCUUCGCGUUGCCCUGCUCACUUGCGUCUUGGCCCGCGGCGCCGUGACCCCUCCCCGGACGGUGGUAGCGGCGGCUCGACUGGCGGCCGGCCCGGUGUGCGCCGGACUCUGUACGAUGCCGGCUCCUCUGGCGCGUCCGGCGGGGUGGGCGGCCAGGCCGGCGGCCACUUCGUUGGCAACAUCGGGUGGCGGCGCCGACAGACCUCCGCGCCUGUUGGUGAUGGCGACAUCAUCGUUGACGGACUGCUAACGCCGUCGCCCACGGUCAGCUCCUCCCCGCCUGGCUUGGAGAGCACGGCUGCUGCGCGGGAGGCCAGCGUUUUGUCGCUUCUGCCAGCCCCCGCCGCGCUCCCUGCUCCACCCACGCACCCUCCUACACUCUUGCAGUCCGACAGCUCCGCUUUUGCUGCCCAUGAUACACUGCUUCCACCACAUUCUGGGCAAUCUGCACCACAUUGCUCUGCCAGCCCUGCUGCUAUGCGUGCUGCUGGCUCUACCCCUGAUGCUGCCCCCGAUGCGAACCCCACUUUGGCUGCCCCCUUGUCCACGCCGCUGUAACCUCCAGACAGUGUGCCUGUCGUUUCCAGCCGCUGUGUGCAGCCACUUGGCCAGGAUGCUGACCGGUCUUCGGUCAGCGCUCUCCUGCACCACCAGCAUGAUGUGGCCCUCGCGAAUCCGGCACCUGGCCACCCCGACCCAACGGGCACGGCCCAGGAGAUGGUAAUCACUUCUGUCAACUGUGCUGUUGGGCUGCCUCUUCCCUCCCAGCCCACUGGGCCCCAUGUCGCCUCCACUGAUGCUACCACCGCUCUAGCUGUUGCCGUGCAGGGCCUCUCUGUUGACCCCGUGCUCUCCCCUACUUUGCCAUUCCUUUCUGCAAUCAGCACUGCUAUCCAGCCACCGCUCAUCCCUUCCCCUCCUCCCACGCGCCAGCCGCCGGCACUGCAGGCGGCCACCCCGGUGAGGCGCACCAUCCAUAGGCUUGCCGAGCAGCCUGCCGCCAGCCUGUCCACCAUCGAGCGGGCAUGCAGCGUGCUCCGCAAGAAGUGGGGGAUCGCGGCUGACCUCGACGACAAGGCCACGAAGGAAGACAUGAUGCAAAGCUUCCUCGACAUGUUCACGGAUCCCCUCGGUGCCGAGGAGAUCGAGGCAGUGAAGGCCCUCUUCUCCUCCGUCCAGCUGACCAAAGGAAGGCCAAGCUCCAAGGGGCGCCCCACGGCCAUUCGCCGGCUGCGGGACCGUCGUGGUGCUGCCUAGGGUGGCCUCUGAUGUGCGCCAUCGACGACAACUCCAUGCUCGCCUCACCUCCAUGCUCGCAGAACCACCAGCAGGUGUCUACAGUUGUAUCUGCUUCCUUCUGUGUACUAGAUUUCCCUUGCUUUUCGUCAGUUACAUCAUUCUACCUGCUAGUCUCCUUUUCGUCAGUUAUAGCACUCUACCUGCUAAUCUCCCCUCGUUGUUCGACAGCCUCUCCCUUGUACUCCAUCUUAAUCCAGUCCCCCCCUGUGUGUCAUGGUGUAUCAAUGAGUGAGCACAACUGUACCAUCCUCAAUUGGAACGUCCGAGGCCUCAACAACCCCGCUCGUCGCCAAGUUGUCUGUAAUCUUGUUGCUCAAACUCGCUCCUCUGUUGUGUGCCUACAAGAGACUAAGCUCGCUCACAUCGACCGCUCGAUUGUGCUCGAACUCCUUGGGAAUGGCUUUGCUGACUCAUUCUGCUUCCUCCCGGCUGAUGGCACCAGAGGAGAGAUCCUCUUGGCUUUCUCCUCCGACCUUUUUGUCAUCACGAGCUCUAAUGCCACAACUCAUACAAUCUCUUCUUCCAUCUCCAUGCGUGCUUCGGCUGCCUCCUGGAGCAUCUCCGUGGUUUAUGGCCCCCAAACAGACAAUGACAAGUUCAACUUCAUCUCCGAGCUACGCUCUCUGAAAGCAACCAUGCUGUCCUCUUGGGUUCUCCUGGGAGACUUCAAUCUUCUAUGUCGUGCUGAUGACAAAAGCAAUGGUGCCAUAAACAGGCGUCUCAUUAACAGUUUCCGAUCAGCUCUGAACUUCCUUGAGCUCGACGAGCUGCGACUUCAUGGUCGCCGCUACACUUGGGCUAGCUCCUGCCCGCAGCAGACUAAAACCAAGAUCGGCCAUUUCUUCUGCUCUAUUGAUUGGAAUCUCCUUUUUCCCCAAUGCCACAUGCGUGCCACCUCCUCCUCUAUAUCUGACCAUUGUGUUAUGCUCCUCACUGGUCAAGUUAACCACAGGAAGUUCUCCGGGUUCCGUUUUGAGAACUACUGGCUUAAAAUUCGAGGAUUCGGGGCCGCUGUUUCUGAAUCGUGGCAGGCGCCGGUCACUCACGGCGACUCCAUGUGCAGAUUGCGCUGCAAGUUAUCCCGCCUCGCCAAAUCCCUUCGGCUUUGGAGCCGCCGGCGCGUGGGCAACAUCACCCUACUGUCCACGAUUGCUGAUCUGGUCAUUCUGGGCCUCGACUCUGCUCAGGACGGCCGCGAUCUGUCCAUCGUGGAGAUGGGUCUCCGGCUGCACCUCAGGCACAAGAUCCUCGGUCUGGCUGCCAUCCAGCGGGUGCGUAUCCGCCAAUGCUCUCGCAUCCUCUACCUGCGUGCCAAUGAGGCCGAUUCCAAGCUCUUCCACAUCAAGGCUAACGAACGAAGAAGACGGAAUUUCAUCCCAGUUCUGGACAAUGGUGAGGCCCAGCUCACCCUGCAGGCUGACAAGCAAAAGGUGCUUUUUGACCACUUCAGAAGCAUGAUCGACACCCCAACCCCCAGGGAGUGUUUGAUCAAUUGGGAAUUCCUCGAUAUGCCAAGGCACGAUCUUUCUGCUUUGGAGAUGGACUUCACCGAGGAGGAAAUCAAGGCAGCCGUUUUUGAUUUGCCAUCUGGGAAAGCUCCAGGACCGGAUGGAUUUACCGCUGAUUUCUAAAAGUAUUGCUGGAGCAUUAUCAAGGGCGAUUUGAUCAGUGCCCUCAAUCAACUUUUCUCUCUCAGAGGCAAUCGCUGGAACCUGCUCAACUCUGCCUUCAUUACCCUUCUGCCUAAAUCUCCUGACGCAAGCAAGAUUAAGGACUUUAGGCCCAUCAGCCUCAUGCAUUCUAUUGGCAAGAUCGUCUGCAAACUCUUGGCAAACCGUUUGGCCCCUCUAUUGCACCGGAUUGUGCCACACUUGCAAAGUGCAUUCAUCAAGAACCGCAGCAUCCAAGACAAUUUCCUGUAUGUCAAAAACACGGUUAGACUGUUGCACCAAUCCAAGGAUCCGGCCCUUCUGUUGAAGCUAGACAUCGUCGGUGCGUUUGACUCAGUUUCCUGGAGAUAUAUGUUCGAGCUCAUGACAGCCAUUGGUUUUGGCCCAAGAUGGUGUGACAUCAUGGCUAUUAUGUGGACCUCUGCAUCUUCUUGGAUCAUGGUCAAUGGGCAGCUUGGUUCUCCCUUCUUCCAUCAAAAAGGGUUGCGGUAGGGCGACCCUGUCUCCCCAAUGUUGUUUACUAUCGCAAUUGCCCCCUUCACUGGCUGCUGGAGAAGGCUUGUUCGACUGGUGCACUGUCCGCGUUGCGGCUGCCUCCUUCCAGAUUGCGUGUCAGCCUUUAUGCCGAUGAUGCAUCUCUUUUCGUUGCUCCUACGCCUCAUGAUGUCGCCACCACCAAGGAGAUCCUUAGGGUUUUUGGCUCUGCUUCUGGGCUGAAGGCCAAUGUGCAAAAAAGUGCCUUCCUCCCCAUUGCCUGUGAUGAUAUCGAUUUGGCCUCCUUGCUUCAGCAUUUCCCGGUACCCCUCGGUCAGUUCCCGUGCAAUUACCUUGGACUGCCUCUACACCAUAACAAGAUUACUAGAGCUGACAUUCAACCGACCAUUGACAAAAUGGCCUCCAGAUUGCAAAUUUGGAGAGGCUAGCUGCUCUACGGAGAUGCGCGCCUGAAGCUUGUUAACUCUAUCCUCUCUGCCAUUCUAGUUCACCUUCUCUCUGUUUUCAAACUUGAUGGGUGGGCUCUCAAACAAAUGGAUAAGCUUCGGAGGAACUUUUUGUGGCGCUCCAAACCUGAUUCUGACAAGGGCAUGGCUCUCGUCAACUGGAGCAUUGUUUGUCGCCCCAAGCGGCUGGGGGGCCUUGGGGUGCUCGAUAUCCAACGCUUCAGCAGAGCUCUUCGUCUCAGGUGGAAAUGGCUUUCCUGGACUGACAAGGAGCGCCCCUGGGCCGGCACCGAGAUUCCAUGCGACAAGGAUGACAUUGCACUAUUCUAUGCCUCCACCACGGUGGCCAUCGGAAAUGGACUGACUGCCAACUUUUGGAAUGACAAGUGGCUCAACGGACAUGUGCCACGGCUCCUUGCUCCAGAUAUCUUCAGGUUGUGCUCCCACAAGAAUAUCUCUGUCUAUGAUGCCAUCUCUAAUAAUAAGUGGCUGCUAGGCUUACAUCGGAUCUCUGACAUCUCGCAGCUUCGCCAGUUUGCUCUACUUUGGAACCAAAUUCGGCAGGUAACGCUUGACCCUCUCACUGCUGACUCCAUUUCCUGGGUAUGGAACAGCUCCAAGUCCUACUCAGCUUCUUCUGCAUACCAGUGCCAAUUCCUUGGAUCGUUCUGCCCAAGACGGUUUGAUAGGCUGUGGACUGCGAAGGUGGAAGCCAAGUGCAAAUUCUUCAUGUGGCUGUGGCUGCAGGGUCGGAUCCUUACGGCCAACAACCUUGCCAUCAGGGUAAUUCCUCAUGAUGAUAUCUGCUGCUUCUGCGACCAGGCCGAUGAGACGCCCACCCAUCUAAUCCUAACAUGCCCUUUCGCCAAGGGCGUCUGGACCAUGGUAGGAAACAGCCUUGGCCAGCCUGCUCUUGCAACAAACGCUCAGACCGCGACUUCCAUCGAGCACUGGUGGGACGACUUGACCUCGGGCCUGUGAAGGAGGGCCAAGAGAGUGGCCAUUUAUACGGUUUGGAACAUCUGGAAGGAAUGGAACAGGCGGGUAUUCGAGCAUCAUCCGCUCCAGGAAGCUGCUAUCCUCCACCUCAUCAAGCAAGACCUUUCUCUUCCUUCGCUCUCGGCUAGCUGGCUUUCUAAUGUACAGAAUGCACCUGAACCUGAGCCUGAUUGAUUGAUUGAUUCUUGUACUCCUAGCUAUGGGUGCUAUUCGCGCCUUCCGCUCAGGGCUACGAAUUGCCGCAAGAAGAAAUGUGGCCAUAGCAACUAGCUGCGGCUGAAGUCGAAAAGGCGUUGGUUUUGUUGAAGAGCCACACAUCAGUUGAAUCGGCUAUCUACUUGUCUCACCUUAUCAAGACUGACAGAAAAUUUAAAUGUCUUGGUGUAAUGUUCCUGCUGGAUUUGGAGCAUUGUCUCUUUUGAACAGUUGGUUAUGUUUCGCUGCAUGCUUAGGACAUGUGAUGAUUGUAAUAUGGCAGCUUAACUCUUUUUGGCUGGAUUGAGAACUUACCUAAUUUCUAUACAUGCUACUCUGUUUUCAA